ensembl:lncRNA
CUAGCCAGUAGGGAAGCAAAUACAUUUUGAAUUUUCACAGGUGGCUGGAAUGGGGAGAUUCAGAAAGUAUCAUUGGAAGGAGCAGUUUCUGCUGAUUUCUAUAUUAGCAUCUUGCUGUUCUUCACUAAACGACUUUAUCCGGUGGUAUCAAGGUCAAGAAUAACAUAAUUGCAGAAGCUUUGCCUCCUUGCACUGAAUAUGAAACGGUCCUUGGGAGCCUUCCGAAAUUUAUAAAACUAAAAUAAAAAAGUAUGCGGAUACUGCUCCAUCAUGUUUUUUCAAAGUAUACUGCUGCAUCUCUCUUCCUCUGCUUCAAUGGAUCUCAAAUUUUGUUCCUACAUAUGCUCCCAGAAUCCCUGACUAUUGUCCAAGCUGACUGGAGCUGCUGGGAAUUAAAGUCUAAAACAUCUGGAAAGCUAGCAUUUGACAAAGUUUGAUCUACCCACAUAGAUUACAUGGUUAUAUACUUCACUGAUGGUGUAUCUUUUUUGUGCCUGUCUAAUCAGCUUGGAGUGCCACUACAUACCCCUAAGUAUGUGGGCCAAAUACCAAUUUUGUCAUGAGCCACAAGAGAGCAACCAUGGAAGAAACUACAACAUUACUACUCUAGGUAAUAUGUAAUGACAGUCCUAGAAGUAGACUGAACUAUAAAUCAUAGCUAAUAGAUUAAUACAUUUUAAGGUUAUAUUGCUAGAGGCUUUGCUCACCAGUUCAUAAUCUUACAUUGUCUAAAUUUAAUAAAAUUAAGAAUGUGCGCAUUUCUUGGUCUUUAAUCAUGUAUAUUCUAUUAUAACAUUUGUCCUGCUGGAGACUCACUUGGAUGUUUCCCCACCUUAUCCAUUCUCUUUCUCCCUCACUACUUUCCUUUCCUGGAUUCCCGGGGUGCUGUAUUGCUGGAUUUCUUUGUGAUUUCAUUGAAGCAAUAUGUCAACCCCCUUGACUGAAAAAAGUUUUUUUUUAUUAAGCUGAGUCUGGAUACCAAAAAUAAAGAAAUAUGUCUAAUUUCCUCUUUUGUUAAGUUCCAGCAUUCAUCUGUAGGAGAACCUCUUUUUAUUAUAAUUUGGUUUUGUAUAGAAUGGAAGGGAGAUAUGUUUUCAUUUAAGUCAGAUGCAGAAUAAAAUUAUCAUAAGGCAAACUAAUACGACCUAAAAGGGCCAAAAGGCUUCUCUAAAACUUGAUAAAUGGAAGGGCUAAAUUCUCAUUCAUGGGCAAUUGCUACUCUACAAAUUGCUGUAAAAUGUGGGUAAAAAUCAGUGGUGAACUGGAUGAUAAAUAUGGCUGCCAGAAUAUAACAGGGACACACUCACAACUAUAAGGCAGGAGUAUUGUGUGGUUUCCAGGCUGUAUAGCCGUGUUCUAACAGCAUUUUCUAGAACACGGCCAUACAGCCCGGAAACCUGUUAAUGUAAGAUUAAUGUAAUGUGAAUGUUUAAAUGUAAUUUUGUACAAUGCUUGUGAAUGUAACCUGAUUGCAUUAGAAGAGAGUGUAUUGACACUGAAAGGGUUAAUCAGUCAAGCCUCUAAUGAACUGUGAAGAUGUGACCCUGAGUGUGCCUGGAACGCAUAGGGAGGAUUCAGAGAUAAGAUUUAAGAUUUCAUUGGUUCCUUUUACUUCAGUGUCUUUUGUCUUGUUUUCUGUCUGUUUGGUUGGAUGUCAAUGCUAGUGUGUGCUGGAUAUUUGCUCUUCUCAGUAAAGCUAUAUGUUUGCUUUUACUGAAGUCUCAAAGUGUCCAUUCUUCUGUGCUCCAAACCUUCAAAGCUUCUGUCACAGUCUGACAAAACCAUGCAACAGUGAUUCCAACUGGGAAAGCCUUCAACAACACAACUAUAAGACUAUAAUUUAAUUUUUAUAAGAAAUUAGCUUAGGUAGCUGGCAAUGCCUGGGUUACAUAUUUAGUAAUUUAUAA